rnacentral:tRNA from 1 species
GGUUGUGGCUCAGUGGUAAAGUGUUUGCCUCACAUGUGUGAGGCACUGGGUUCAAUUCUCAGCACCA